rnacentral:rRNA from 1 species
GAUGAACGCUGGCGGCGUGCCUAAUACAUGCAAGUCGAGCGAACAGAUAAGGAGCUUGCUCCUUUGACGUUAGCGGCGGACGGGUGAGUAACACGUGGGUAACCUACCUAUAAGACUGGGAUAACUUCGGGAAACCGGAGCUAAUACCGGAUAACAUUUGGAACCGCAUGGUUCUAAAGUGAAAGAUGGUUUUGCUAUCACUUAUAGAUGGACCCGCGCCGUAUUAGCUAGUUGGUAAGGUAACGGCUUACCAAGGCGACGAUACGUAGCCGACCUGAGAGGGUGAUCGGCCACACUGGAACUGAGACACGGUCCAGACUCCUACGGGAGGCAGCAGUAGGGAAUCUUCCGCAAUGGGCGAAAGCCUGACGGAGCAACGCCGCGUGAGUGAUGAAGUGUUUCGGCUCGUAAAACUCUGUUAUUAGGGAAGAACAAAUGUGUAAGUAACUGUGCACGUCUUGACGGUACCUAAUCAGAAAGCCACGGCUAACUACGUG